AUUCAAUCAAAUUCUAUCUAAAGAAGAACAUUUGUUUGCUUGCUGCCUUCCUUCCAAACAGAUUUUUCAGAAGAUGGGCCUAAAAACUUCAUCCAAUUAAUAUCUUCUACAAUUUGCAACCAUGGCAAUAGAUGGGACUAUAAGCUGACAUUUGACCCACCAGGAGAUGAUCUGCCUCAAUGAGGCAGCCAAUAUUUUAAUAAUUCCCAUGGAUUCUUGGAAGAGUUGCAAACAUAUUUCAUUAAGGUGAAGUGGUCUGGCUGACAAAAAGGGAGUUGCUUUAAAAGGACCAAAAGUAAUAGUGUCUACUUACAAAUGCAGAAGAUGCUUUGAUGUGCUAAGCAUGUAAAUGCCUUGAAGAUGAGAAAGAGAAUGUUAGCUGCAUAUACUUCAGAGCGAGAAUAUAAGAACAUCAGCAAUGGAUCAGACUCCAACCAACCAACUGCACAAGGAAGCACACGGGUCUCCUAACCAAUGGACAAUUGCACAAGCAGUGAAUGCUCCAACACUGGAAGUUUUUAAGAAGAGACUGGACAGCCAUUUGUCUGAAAUGGUAUAGGUUUCUUGCCUGAGCAGGGGAUUGGACUAGAUGACCUCCAAGGUCCCUUCCAACUUUAUUAUCAUUAUUAUUAUAAAUCAAUUAACUUUAUUAAGGUCUUUGACUAGUGUUUACAGUA